GCCGCACUGGCCCAACUGGCAGAGGCGCUGAGCUCAGACCUCAGAGGAUCUUGGUUCGAAUCCAAGGUGUGGCA
rnacentral:tRNA from 1 species